rnacentral:rRNA from 1 species
CUACGGGCGGCACCAGUGGGGAAUAUUGGGCAAUAGGCGAAAGCCUGACCCAGCGACGCCGCGUGGAGGAUGAAGGCUCACGGGUUGUAAACUCUUUUUCUUCCAGAAGAAUUUCCAUCUACUAACAUUGAAUGGAAAUGACUGUACGGAAGGAAUAAGCCCCGGCUAACUCCGUGCCAGCAGCCGCGGUAAUACGGAGGGGGCAAGCGUUAUCCGGAAUCAUUGGGCGUAAAGGGUGUGUAGGUAGUCUAGAAAGUCAGGUGUGAAAUCCCUCUGCUUAACAGAGGAAUUGCAUCUGAAACUUCAAGACUGGAGUUUGGGAGAGGAGAACGGAAUUUUCGGUGUAGCGGUGAAAUGCGUAGAUAUCGAAAAGAACGCCAGGGGCGAAAGCGGUUCUCCAGCCCAAUACUGACGCUGAAACACGAAAGCUAGGGUAGCAAACAGGAUUAGAACCCCGGUAGUC